GCUUGACAGUGUUAAAAAGGGGGCGUUAUAAAUUAAAUUAUAGCUAAUACGCCAGGUGAUUUUUCUUUGGGGGUGACUCAAGUGCAAUGCAGACGAGUGAGUUACCAACCAGCUGGAUGACAGGAAGCAGACGCGGAGUGGCAUUGGAAAUUGUUUUACUACGGGGCCAUUUACAAAACAAUUACACUUAUUUGUGCGCCAUUUAACAGCUCGUCCUUCCACUGACAAUCCAUCAGCGGCUGUUUCUCCCCAUUCAGCGAAACUCUGCGGAACUCAAGGGAACCGAAAGCCGGCUGACGCUACUCGACUUCAUUUCGUCCUGACAGCUCUGAGUGGAAAUGAACCCUGGGGCCAGUCGAUCCACUAGGCGAAAAAUAUUACAAAUAGCAUUUGAAAUUACAAUUGAAUUAACAGUUUACCAGUAUGCUCUUUCCCUUUAAAGUCCUGAUUUCCAACUUUCUAUUUGUUGCACACAAAUUUGUUGCAGUGCACCUAUUUCCGUUGCAAAACACUUGCCCCAAAAAGACUGCUUAGUAUGCAGCUCAGCAAGGAGGAGAGCCAGCGACAGCUGACGAACUGCAUACCUGCAAUGGCAGGUAAAUAAAAUUAAUCAUACGCCCCGUGGCACCUUGGCGUUCAUUUGAAGAAUUUGGGCAAUUCAAUUGUUAACUUUGUGAAAAAUUGAAGAUUUUAUUACCCAUAACUAAUUGUAUUACAACUAAGCAUUAACAUAUUUUUAUUUUACUUAAUUUUUGAUAUAAUUUAAUGAAGUACAUUUGUCUUAAAAGUUGGUAUACUUCUAAUGAACGCUUUACCCAAUAUAUUGUUAAAGAUUUUGAGCGGCUUAAUUUCCUAUCACCUUAAAUCUUUCUUAAUUGGCUUAACAAUGAACUGAUUCUUUAGAAAUGAGGCAAUAAUUUAUAAAUUUGAGCAUUAUUCAUAAUCUCAAGAGCAAAUACAAUUGGUCUAUCCUUUGUUUGCCAAAGGAAAAAACCCUAUCAAUCGAGUUCUUGGAAUUCUCGUAGUGAGCUAAAUUAAAAGUACGAGGAAUUUCUCCCGUUGGCGUUUCCUAACCACACACACACUGCAAACGAAGAUGAUAAGAGAGUUUGGUGCUCAAAAUGAUUAAUGUGGCGCAAAUAAAUGAAUUACCAUUUAAUAAUAGUUAAUAAAAUCGGUGUAGACAAGAUAGGCGUAAAGAUAAAGAAUGCUUAAGUGAAGAAUAAAAUUUAUCUUGUUUUAUGAACUUGGUAAUUUAGUUAAAAA